rnacentral:rRNA from 1 species
ACGGAGGAUGCGAGCGUUAUCCGGAUUCAUUGGGUUUAAAGGGUGCGUAGGCGGAUUCUUAAGUCAGUGGUGAAAUACCCGGGCUCAACCUGGGGGCUGCCAUUGAUACUGGGGAUCUGGAAUUCGGAUGCUGUGGGAGGAAUGUGUGGUGUAGCGGUGAAAUGCAUAGAUAUCACACAGAACACCGAUUGCGAAGGCAUCUCACAAAUCCGCGAUUGACGCUGAUGCACGAAAGUGUGGGGAUCAAACAGG